rnacentral:lncRNA from 1 species
ACUAUAUACACUGGGACAACAGCAAGUGGUGAAUGAGUCUCUUCCCCCUUCUCUGUCCCCCACAGGGAAAUAUGUUUGGGAGCCCUACUCUCUGCCCAGUAAUUCCACUUCUAGAAGUUAUCCUGAGAGAACAACCACAGUCAGGUUGUGAAGGACCCGUGAAGAUCCUCACUGUGAAAGUGUUAACCGCUGAAAGAAGACAGGAAGAUCUCGCCAGAUAAGACCAUGAAAGGGGAAUGAACCAGUACCCAGUGUCCAGCUGUGCUAUGCAGAGAGGCGUGAUUCUUCUCCGGCCAUCUGCUGUCCGAGUCUCAACUUGUUUCUUCAAAAGAUUCUGGCAAAGCAGAGUUACAUAAAUGAAUGCAAAAGUUUUGG